AGCGAACGCUGGCGGCAGGCUUAACACAUGCAAGUCGAACGCCCGUAGCAAUACGGGAGUGGCAGACGGGUGAGUAACGCGUGGGAACAUGCCCUUUGGUUCGGAAUAACUCAGGGAAACUUGAGCUAGUACCGGAUAAGCCCGAGAGGGGAAAGAUUUAUCGCCGAAGGAUUGGCCCGCGUCCGAUUAGCUAGUUGGUGAGGUAAUGGCUCACCAAGGCGACGAUCGGUAGCUGGUCUGAGAGGAUGAUCAGCCACACUGGGACUGAGACACGGCCCAGACUCCUACGGGAGGCAGCAGUGGGGCAUAUUGGACAAUGGGGGCAACCCUGAUCCAGCCAUGCCGCGUGAGUGAUGAAGGCCCUAGGGUUGUAAAGCUCUUUCGGCGGGGACGAUAAUGACGGUACCCGCAGAAGAAGCCCCGGCUAACUUCGUGCCAGCCGCCGCCGUAAGAC
rnacentral:rRNA from 1 species